rnacentral:rRNA from 1 species
UAGGGAAUCUUUCACAAUGGGCGAAAGCCUGAUGGAGCAACGCCGCGUGCAGGAUGAAGGCCUUCGGGUUGUAAACUGCUUUUAUUAAGCGAGAAAUAUGAUGGUAACUUAUGAAUAAGGAUCGGCUAACUACGUGCC